UUUUAUUAAAAAAAAGAAUAUUGAAAAGUGUGCUUUCAGUGUGCAGGUUGGUAGAUUCUUGGGUUUCAUGAUCUCAAAAAGGGGAAUAUAGGUGAACCCGAAAAAGAUCCGUGCUAUCUUGGAAAUGUCUCCUCUACGAACAGUGAAUGACAUCCGACGCCUCACAAGUAGAGUAGUAGCGCUCAACAGGUUCAUAUCCAGAACAGAUAAAUGCCUCCCUUUCUUCAAGGCCUUGAGAACCUCCUUUUCAUUGACUAAAGAGUGUCAAACAGCCUUUGAAGAACUGAAAUUGCACCUUACCUCCCCACCGCUUUUGAAGUCGCUGUAGGUGGGAGAAACCCUUUAUUUGCAUCUUGCUACCUCAGAGGAGAUAGCUACGGUAGUAUUGGUCAGAGCAGAGAGUGCUUGCCAAUUUCUAGUGUACUACAUCAGCAAAGUACUCCAGAACGGUGAAUUGAGUCGAUACCUCAGGAAGGGUGACAAAUGGAGCAUUGAAUUGGCUGAAUUUGGAGUGGAGUUCGCCCCGAGAACAGCAAUAAAGGGGUAGGUAUUAGCUGACUUCAUGGUUGAGUGUUCUUUCGAGAAGCUUAUUGGCCUAGCAAAUAAUACAACUUAUAACUUGAAAUACUAGAUAAUGAACAUUUUAUGAAGUUAAAUGUGUAUGUUAUUGACAAUUUCAUGUGAAUAUUGGCAAACACCAGUAAUUCAAUUCGUUAUUUAUAUAAUGAUACAUAAUAAUUUUUACUUUA